CCCUUAGAUGUUCUGGGCCGCACGCGCGCUACACUGACGAAGUCAGCGAGCAUCUCCUACGCCGAAAGGUGCGGGGAAUCUUGUGAAACUUUGUCGUGCUGGGGAUUGAUUUUUGAAAUUCUUGAUCAUAAACGAGGAAUUCCUAGUAAGCGCAAGUCAGCAGCUUGCGUUGAUUACGUCCCUGCCCUUUGCACACACCGCCCGUCGCUACUACCGAUUGAAUGGUUUAGUGAGAUGUUUGGACCGGAACUCUCUUGCUCAGCAAUGGGCGAGAGAGAGUCUGGGAAGUCCCUCUAACUGUAUCAUUUAGAGGAAGUAAAAGUCGUAACA
rnacentral:rRNA from 1 species